rnacentral:pre_miRNA from 1 species
UAUUACCCUCAUCCUCUUGGUGAUCGCCCUGCCCCACCCAUAUGGCCUUCUGAAUUCAGGGAACUUCUGGAUUCAGGGCCUGCAUAUGGACAGGGUGGUUACCAAUGGGAUGACGGUAAUA